rnacentral:rRNA from 1 species
UGCAUAUCAAUAAGCGGAGGAAAAGAAACCAACAGGGAUUGCCUCAGUAACGGCGAGUGAAGCGGCAACAGCUCAAAUUUGAAAUCUGGCCCCAGGCCCGAGUUGUAAUUUGUAGAGGAUGCUUUUGGUGCGGUACCUUCCGAGUUCCCUGGAACGGGACGCCUUAGAGGGUGAGAGCCCCGUACGGUUGGAUGCCUAGCCUCUGUAAAGCUCCUUCGACGAGUCGAGUAGUUUGGGAAUGCUGCUCUAAAUGGGAGGUAAAUUUCUUCUAAAGCUAAAUACCGGCCAGAGACCGAUAGCGCACAAGUAGAGUGAUCGAAAGAUGAAAAGCACUUUGAAAAGAGGGUUAAAUAGUACGUGAAAUUGUUGAAAGGGAAGCGCUUAUGACCAGACCUUUGCCCUGCGGAUCACCCGGCGUUCUCGUCGGUGCACUUCGUUUGGUUUAGGCCAGCGUCGAUUUUGGCAGGGGGAUAAAGGCCUGGGAAACGUAGCUCCCCUGGGAGUGUUAUAGUCCCUUGCGUAAUACCCCUGCCGGGAUCGAGGUUCGCGCUCUGCAAGGACGCUGGCAUAAUGGUCAUCAGUGACCCGUCUUGAAACACGGACCA